UGUACUGAAGUGUUAGGCAGGUGGGCCAGG
rnacentral:piRNA from 1 species